rnacentral:rRNA from 1 species
GACGAACGCUGGCGGCGUGCUUAACACAUGCAAGUCGAACGGAAAGGCCCUGCUUUUGUGGGGUGCUCGAGUGGCGAACGGGUGAGUAACACGUGAGUAACCUGCCCUUGACUUUGGGAUAACUUCAGGAAACUGGGGCUAAUACCGGAUAGGAGCUCCUGCUGCAUGGUGGGGGUUGGAAAGUUUCGGCGGUUGGGGAUGGACUCGCGGCUUAUCAGCUUGUUGGUGGGGUAGUGGCUUACCAAGGCUUUGACGGGUAGCCGGCCUGAGAGGGUGACCGGCCACAUUGGGACUGGGAUACGGCCCAGAGUCGUACGGGAGGCAGCAGUGGAGAAUAUUGCACAAUGGGCGGACGCCGGAUGCAGCAACGCCGAGUGCGGGAUGACGGCCUUCGGGGUGUAAACCGAUUUCGCCUGUGACGAAGCGUGCGUGACGGUAAUGGGUAAAGAAGCACCGGCUAACUACGUG